UGACGACGAUGUACCAUGUUAUAUUUACUUUCAGCAGCAGCUUUAUUAGUUUAAAUGGCAUUUACAUGCAACACUGGUGUGACAUUUUUUCGCAGGUUUGUCAUUUUCCGUCAGGGCAACGAGAUGCCGGAUUUUUAUAACAAGUGGCUCGUCUACCGUCUUCCAUCUCUCUCGCUCUCUCUGCACGAGCAAUCGAGCAUCAUGAGUUCGUCAUGGAAUACAGGCUUGGGCUUCCUGUCGAAGUGGGUUCGAAUGAGUCGAACCUUGGCCGACCUGCUUCGGGGGAGACGCCCCAAGUCAUGGCGGAAGAGGCUCGAGUGGCUGCCUGCUGCAGCGAGCUCGAUGAAGGUGACACACCAGUUGGAGCAGGUGUUCAAGCUCAUUGAUGAGAACGGGGACGGGAAGAUCUCUUGCUUGGAGCUCGGGCACCUGCUGAGGCGCCUCGGCCACGAGAGGGUCGCCGCCGUGGAGGUCGCGGAGGAGAUGGUGAAGGAGAUGGACUACGAUGGGGAUGGGCUCAUCGGUCUUCAAGAGUUCAUGGAGGUGGUGGUGAAUGGCAGCCGCGGCGAGGGCGGGUUCGGCAGCCAUGAUGAUCUGAGAGAGGCUUUCCUCAUCUUCGAUUCCGACAGGGACGGGUACAUAUCUGCUACUGAGUUGCAGAGGGUGAUGAUUAGUUUAGGGGAUGCUGGCUGCACACUCCACGAUUGCUUGCUUAUGAUCAAGGGAGUCGACAAGGAUGGUGAUGGACAGGUCGAUUUUGAAGAGUUCAGGGAAAUGAUGAUGAGGUGCUCCUUUUGAGCGAUUGGCAAACAGAGCAGGGAAGAUUGGUUUGAGGAAUCAGUCUUGGUGGAGGGGAAGAAUACUUGUUUGUGGAAAUGCCUGAAAGAGGUUAAUUUGGGUAGAAGAGAUUUGCUGAAUUUAUGCAUCAACCUCUUGGGUUGAGGUUUCCUGCAUCAGGCAAGAGUUGGGCAUCGGGAAAAACUGAAGCGAUCAUCAUAACAUAAUUAUGUAAUUCACAUGUAGGAGAUGAAUGUGUGGUAGAAAAAUGAGCAGGUCUUCAGAAGUUAUGAGCCCGAGUUCAUUUUUGUAAUUAAGAGGUGGUUCUUCUGUAUCUGAGAAAAGAGUGGCUAGACCCUCCAAAUUGCGCGAGCGCACCAGUUUUAUGGUAGUCGUGGCCCCACGAUGUGAUUCCUGUGGUGAUAAGUUCUUCAGGGGAUCUUUCUUCUUCAUGUCUUCAAAAGCUUUCGAACUCGGUCUCGACCAAUAUGAGCCUGGUAGA